rnacentral:ncRNA from 1 species
CACCUGGUUGAUCCUGCCAGUAGUCAUAUGCUUGUCUCAAAGAUUAAGCCAUGCAUGUCUAAGUAUAAGCUUUAAACGGCGAAACUGCGAAUGGCUCAUUAAAACAGUUAUAGUUUAUUUGGUGAUCGAUUACUAUUUGGAUAACCGUAGUAAUUCUAGAGCUAAUACAUGCGUCAAGGCCCGACUUCGGAAGGGCUGCGUUUAUUAGAUACAGAACCAACCUAGGCUCCGCCUAGUCCUUGUUGGUGAUUCAUAAUAACCCGGCGAAUCGCACGGCUUGUCCGGCGAUGGACCAUUCAAGUUUCUGACCUAUCAGCUAUGGACGGUAGGGUAUUGGCCUACCGUGGCGUUGACGGGUAACGGGGAAUUAGGGUUCGAUUCCGGAGAGGGAGCCUGAGAAACGGCUACCACAUCUAAGGAAGGCAGCAGGCGCGCAAAUUACCCAAUCCUGAUACAGGGAGGUAGUGACAAGAAAUAACAAUACAGGGCAAUUCUGUCUUGUAAUUGGAAUGAGUAGAUUUUAAAUCUCUUUACGAGUAUCAAUUGGAGGGCAAGUCUGGUGCCAGCAGCCGCGGUAAUUCCAGCUCCAAUAGCGUAUAUUAAAGUUGUUGCGGUUAAAAAGCUCGUAGUUGGAUUUCUGCCUUGGGCGACCGAUCCACCUUUCCUACGGGAUUGGUUGGUAUCAGGUUUGACCUUGGCUUUUUCUUGGGAUUCGUGCUCACGUACUUAACUGUGCGUUGACCGUGUUCCAAGACUUUUACUUUGAGGAAAUUAGAGUGUUCAAGCA